UGCAGUCCACGUGAAGGGGAGCAAUCCCCCGGUAAGGUGGCGAACGGGUGAGUAAUACAUGGGAAAUCUGCCUGGGAGAUGGGGAUAUCCCUCCGAAAGGGGGGCUAAUACCGAAUAGCAUCCGGGUUCUGAAAGGGAUCCGGGGAAAGGGAGGCCUCUGGCAACAUGCUUCCGCUCCGAGAGGAGCCCAUGGCCCAUCAGCUAGUUGGUAGGGUAAAGGCCUACCAAGGCGAAGACGGGUAGCUGGUCUGAGAGGACGAUCAGCCACACUGGCACUGAGACACGGGCCAGACUCCUACGGGAGGCAGCAGUGAGGAAUUUGCGCAAUGGGGGAAACCCUGACGCAGCAACGCCGCGUGUGGGAAGAAGGCUUUCGGGUUGUAAACCACUUUUGUGAAGGAAGAAGUCCCGCCGGCAAAUAACCGGCGGGGAUGACGGUACUUUGCGAAUAAGCCACGGCUAACUCUGUGCCAGCAGCCGCGGUAAGACAGGGGUGGCAAGCGUUGUUCGGAGUGACUGGGCGUAAAGGGUCUGUAGGUGGUUUUUCAAGUCCUUGGUAAAAAGCUGUGGCUCAACCAUAGUGCGGCCAAGGAGACUGGGAGACUAGAGGCUGGGAGAGGGAAGCGGAAUUUCUGGUGUAGCGGUGAAAUGCGUAGAGAUCAGAAAGA
rnacentral:rRNA from 1 species